rnacentral:ncRNA from 1 species
CCAAAUACGUUGAUAAGGAAUAGUAGAAUUUUUUGAUUACCCAGAGAGCUGCUGGUCGGUGUGAAGCAGUUAUGAGAGAAAUUUGAACUCGCCUUUGAGUAGCUCGCUGAACUAAUAGUAGGUGGAGCCGGAUGCUGACCGUUAUCUGACAGAGAGAUAUAAAACUUUACAGUUCGUAUCGAGAAGAGUGCAUACAUAUGAUUUAUGUGUGAAUUAGAGUGGUACCACGGAAGAUAUUUUAUCCUUCGUCUCUUAU